rnacentral:rRNA from 1 species
CUAGGUAUCUUUAGAGAAGGGGGUACACCUGUUCCCAUUCCGAACACAGCAGUUAAGCCCUUCAUCGCCGAUAGUACUAUAGUGUUUAGCUAUGGAAGGGUAGGACGAUGCCUAGA